GACGAACGCUGGCGGCGUGCUUAACACAUGCAAGUCGAACGGAAAGGCCCUGCUUUUGUGGUGUGCUCGAUUGGCGAACGGGUGAGUAACACGUGAGUAACCUGCCCUUGACUUUGGUAUAACUUCAGGAAACUAGGGCUAAUACCGGAUAGGAUCUCCUGCUGCAUGGUGGGGGUUGGAAAGUUUCGGCGGUUGGGGAUGGACUCGCGGCUUAUCAGCUUGUUGGUGGGGUAGUGGCUUACCAAGGCUUUGACGGGUAGCCGGCGUGAGUGGGUGAACGGGCACAUUGGGACUGAGAUACGGACCAGACUGCUACAGGAGGCAGCAGUGGGGAAUAUUGCACAGUGGGCGGAAGCCUGAUGCAGAAACGCCGCGUGCGGGAUGACGGCCUUCGGGUUGUAAACCGCUUUCGCCUGUGACGAAGCGUGAGUGACGGUAAUGGGUAAAGAAGCACCGGCUAACUACGUG
rnacentral:rRNA from 1 species